AGUGAACGCUGGCGGUAGGCCUAACACAUGCAAGUCGAACGGCAGCACAGUAAGAGCUUGCUCUUACGGGUGGCGAGUGGCGGACGGGUGAGGAAUACAUCGGAAUCUACUUUUUCGUGGGGGAUAACGUAGGGAAACUUACGCUAAUACCGCAUACGACCUACGGGUGAAAGCAGGGGAUCUUCGGACCUUGCGCGAUUGAAUGAGCCGAUGUCGGAUUAGCUAGUUGGCGGGGUAAAGGCCCACCAAGGCGACGAUCCGUAGCUGGUCUGAGAGGAUGAUCAGCCACACUGGAACUGAGACACGGUCCAGACUCCUACGGGAGGCAGCAGUGGGGAAUAUUGGACAAUGGGCGCAAGCCUGAUCCAGCCAUACCGCGUGGGUGAAGAAGGCCUUCGGGUUGUAAAGCCCUUUUGUUGGGAAAGAAAAGCAGCAGGUUAAUACCCCGCUGUUCUGACGGUACCCAAAGAAUAAGCACCGCUAACUUCGUG
rnacentral:rRNA from 1 species